rnacentral:rRNA from 1 species
CCUACGGGAGACUGCAGUGGGGAAUAUUGGGCAAUGGGCGCAAGCCUGACCCAGCAACGCCGCGUGAAGGAAGAAGGCUUUCGGGUUGUAAACUUCUUUUCUCAGGGACGAAGCAAGUGACGGUACCUGAGGAAUAAGCCACGGCUAACUACGUGCCAGCAGCCGCGGUAAUACGUAGGUGGCAAGCGUUAUCCGGAUUUACUGGGUGUAAGGGGCGUGUAGGCGGGAAAGCAAGUCAGAUGUGAAAACCAUGGGCUCAACCUGUGGCCUGCAUUUGAAACUGUUUUUCUUGAGUACUGGAGAGGCAGACGGAAUUCCUAGUGUAGCGGUGAAAUGCGUAGAUAUUAGGAGGAACACCAGUGGCGAAGGCGGUCUGCUGGACAGCAACUGACGCUGAGGCGCGAAAGCGUGGGGAGCAAACAGGAUUAGAUACCCGAGUAGUC